UACAGAGGGUGCGAGCGUUAAUCGGAAUUACUGGGCGUAAAGGGCUCGUAGGCGGUCUGUCGCGUCGGGAGUGAAAACUCAGGGCUUAACCCUGAGCCUGCUUCCGAUACGGGCAGACUAGAGGUAUGCAGGGGAGAACGGAAUUCCUGGUGUAGCGGUGAAAUGCGCAGAUAUCAGGAGGAACACCUGAGGUGAAGGCGGUUCUCUGGGCAUGUCCUGACGCUGAGGAGCGAAAGUGUGGGGAGCGAACAGG
rnacentral:rRNA from 1 species